rnacentral:lncRNA from 1 species
CGAUAUUACUCUCGAUCCAAUUAAAAAACUACCAUGUGCCACCUCCCCCCCCUCACCGGCCCUCUCUAUUACGCUUUUCCUCCCCGGACUUCGAUUCUGAGGCCUACAUCUCCGACCUCCGAACCUUCAUCCCCUUCGAUACCCUCCGAUCCGAGCUCCAGUCCUAUCUGGCCUCCCUCAACCACGAGCUCAUCGACUUCAUCAACCGCGACUUCGUCAACCUCAGCACCAAGCUCGUCGAUGUCGACUCCGCCGUGGUGCGUCUACGGGCCCCACUCCUGCUCAAGGAGAAGAUCGAGCAGUUCAGAGGCUCCGUGUAGGGCUCGCUUGUGGCCUUGACGAAUGGAUUGAAGCAGAGAUCGGAGGUCGCUGAGGCUAGGGAGAUCUUGGAGCUUCUGCUCGAUACGUCUCACGUCGUCUCCGAGUAGUUGAACGAGCUGGAAGCCUGGAAUCGGCGUCG